rnacentral:rRNA from 1 species
UGGGUGACCUACCUCGAGGUGGGGGAUAACCCGGAGAAAUUCGGGCUAAUACCGCAUAACAUCGAAAGAUCAAAGAGGGGCGCAAGCCUCUCGCCGUGAGAGGGGCCCGCGUCUGAUUAGCUAGUUGGUGAGGUAACGGCUCACCAAGGCGACGAUCAGUAGCCGGCCUGAGAGGGCGAUCGGCCACACUGGAACUGAGACACGGUCCAGACUCCUACGGGAGGCAG